rnacentral:rRNA from 1 species
AACCCAAACUAAUAGUUAUCGGCGUAAAGCGUGUUUAAGACAUUCAAACAAUAAAGUUAAACCCUUACUACGCUGUAAAAAGCCUCAGUAAGACCACAAACUCUUCAACGAAAGUGACUUUAAGUAGUCUGACUACACGAUAGCUAGGACCCAAACUGGGAUUAGAUACCCCACUAUGCCUAGCCUUAAACUAAAACAGUUCACAAACAAAACCGUUCGCCAGAGUACUACUAGCAACAGCUUAAAACUCAAAGGACUUGGCGGUGCUUUACAUCCCCCUAGAGGAGCCUGUUCUAUAAUCGAUAAACCCCGAUAUACCUCACCACUCCUUGCUAAUA